rnacentral:lncRNA from 1 species
AGAUUUCCUGGUGAACCUGCCUCUGUCUGAGAGGGUGUCUCACCGAACGGUAGCUAAAACCUCACCAGAACCGCGCGGAAGUGAGAAGUCGCGGCCAAAGGCGCCCGCAGAAGCCUCCUCUCUGGGCCGGACCCCAGCCCGAGCGGCCGAAAGGAGCCCCCCGCCCGGAUCACAGCUGCUGCAGCUGCCGCUGAAAUUCGCUGUGGCCGCUGCCUCUUCCCGCUUUAAUCCCAGACCUCCAGUCAUUGGGCAGCUCCUCAGAGGCAAGAAGUCAACACCAUGGCAACCCGACAAGCCUAUCAAAUCACCGGCUGGCGUGACAGCAGCAACACUGCAGGCAGGAGUGGGCUGGGCGGAAGAGCAGAGUGGCCACUGCGCUCAGUCUUAGAAGUUUACAAGGAAAGGGGAAAUGUCUGAAAUGGAGAUUGCACAAUCCUGUCUUGAAGCAGAAGACUCAGCUAGAGCACAUCUGGAAACACCUGGCACUCCUCAAUAGAAUUCAAAUGCUAUUUUA